rnacentral:tRNA from 1 species
UGGAUCACCUCCUAACAGGGAGACAGACUGAUCGUGAUGUCUGAGUCAUUUUAAUCUCAGGCCAUGAUCCUGUCAUCUCGAAGGUCGAUCGGUACCUCAAGUUGAGAGCGAGCAGUGAAGCAGGAUUCAAUCAAUGGAUCGCUGCUGCUGUGAGGUUAUCAAUUUCAGUUCCUAAACUUUGUCUAGGUCACCCCAAAGCUCCUGGGCCAUUAGCUCAGGUGGUUAGAGCGCACCCCUGAUAAGGGUGAGGUCCCUGGUUCAAGUCCAGGAUGGCCCAUUCACAGCCUGCUCAGCAGGCAGGACUUGACAGCUGGGGGUUUAGCUCAGUUGGUAGAGCGCCUGCUUUGCAAGCAGGAUGUCAGCGGUUCGAGUCCGCUAACCUCCAUAUCAACGCGAACCCACAAGCGAAAGCAAGUGAGCUAAAUGGGAGUGAUCAAGAAGGGAAGGAGAGGAGCUGAGGAUGACUCCAGCCUUCAGGAUUCAAGAGAGUGAUGCGUCGCUGAGGCGCGAGCACGCUUGAGUGUUGAAUGCUGGACUCACACCUGUGAACGGACGUUGACAGGUGAGAUGUUCAGCGAAGAACCUUGACAACUGCAUAGGUGAGUCUGGAAAAAAAGCAUCUCAUGGAUGUCCAGCGAGAGCUGGCGUUCUAUUGAGUUUAGAGCCGAGACUUUCCAGUGUCUUCCAAGGCCUGAGCAAUCCACUCAGGUGGCGGGAGUUUGAUGGUGGCAUUCAGCGAGGAACCCAGCCGAGACAAGAAUCCGAGAGGGUGAUUGAAUUGGCGGGUGAGGAGGUGAAUCCAGCAGAAGCAGCCUCAACAGCUGCGUAGCACUGGGAAGGAUAUUGGUCAAGCUACAAAGGGCUCACGGUGGAUACCUUGGCACACAGAGGCGAUGAAGG